CCUGCCUGGGGACCGAGACCUGUCAGCGUAGAGUGCCAAGUCGUUGUGAGGUUAGAAAGGGGGAGCCAAGCCGGAACAGGACAAGCAUUUGCACCACUUCAUAAUCAGGAUAAUAUCAACAAAAGACAUUGCAGAUACUUUACAUGCCCCCACGGGGUACUUUCUCAAUUCCUCACAGGGAACAAAAGGUGUGAAUCCUAAGGAGCCCUAACUACACGCGCCCUCAUAGCCGACACCAUCAUCAACACUGGGCCACGAGGGGCUGGCGCCAACCCCUGAAGGAAAUAUGCCCUAGAGUCAAUAAUAAAGUUAUUACUUAUUUUUUCGUAUCAUGAUAAAUGUUUAUUAUUCAUGCUAGAAUUGUAUUAACCGGAAACACAAUACAUGUGUGAAUACAUAGACAAACUUAACGUCACUAGUAUGCCCGACCUAGGCUCAGCAGGGAGGUCCCCGCCGGUCUACAUCCUAAGCACUCCGGGGUCUUGGGCCCAUCGCCCGCAGCACUCCGGGUCGUUGCGAGCAGGGUGGAUACCAGCACCGCCUCGGAUGGCUAGCGCGAUCCGACCGUGCCGCACUGCUGAACUGGACAUCUGACAAAGCUUCGGCUGAUACUGCGACAUCGAGGAACAUAUCUAUUCUCGCGUGGUGGUUAGUGCGUAAAGGCCAAAGGCCAACUCAGAACAAAUACCCAAACCAUAGUGUAUUAUUAGCUUGCGGAGACGAGCAGAGACUCACGACCGAAAGUGACCCCAUCGCCCCGUCUCGUGGACUUACGACAAGGGCCUAGAAUGCCCGGUCGUGCCACGUCAUUAUCUUGCGGGUGCUCUCCGGGCCCGCCCGACUUCCACCAAGGUCUCAAGUAAAGUCAAAGUAACCAUGUGUCCAAACAUCAAGGGGAAAACCCGAGGAAUCACCCCCGGUGGAUUCCACUCAAUGUAAUCAUUAAGGUGAACGUAAGAGGGACCACCCUCGAGGUUCACUCUUGAGGUGUUGAACGACAGAGCCGUAUCAGGAAUGGUGAAAGAGGAAAUCACCCUCGAUGACCAUGACCGAAUAGCUACACUACAGAAUUAUCAUCAGGAGUGCGUUAUGAGGGAUCACCCUCAGCACUCGAUAGUAGCUCUGCAGAGUCGAGCAACAAAAGGGGUGUGAUGUGAUGUGAGGUGUCGGGCUCUAGUCGUCGAUCAUGCUGAUCGAGUCGUCGAUGAUGAAGCAGGGGCAACAAGGACAAGGUGGGGGUCUCUGAUGGAUCACUAACCAACCUAUACUAAGCAGUUUAGGAUAAGCAGGUAGGUAACAAUAGCAGAUACAAAAGCAGGCUAUGCAUCAGAAUAGAAGCAAACAAUAACAGUAGCAAAAUCUAAUGCAAGCAUGAAAGUAUAGAAUGGGCGAUAUCGGGAUGAUCAAAGGGGGGGCUUGCCUAGUUGCUCAGACAAGGAGGGUCGUCGUCGACGUAGUCGGUCACAGGGACAUCAGCAUCGGUCUCGGGGUCUACCGGAGAGAAGAGGGGGAAGAAACAGUAAAUACACGCAAACAUAUGCAUAACAAGACAAUAAGCAAUGCUAGAGGUGAUCUAACGUAGCAUCAGGCGAUACUGGCAAAGGGGGGAAACAUCCGAGAAAGUUUUCCCGGUUCCGGAUGUCUAUUAGACAGAUGAAAUGGAGGGGAAAAGUUCAACGUUUGCUAUGCUAGGGAUGUGUGGCGAGUGAACGGAUCGCGUGUCCAGAUUUGUCUCGUCGUUCUAAGCAAUUUUCAUGUACAAAGUUUUUCGAUCCGAGUUACGGUUAAUUUUCUAUGACUUUUCAACGUUUUAAUUAUUUUCUAAAAAUACCUAGAUUUAAUAUUAAUUCGAAAAUACACCUAAAAAUACUAGAUGCACCCAGUCCAAUGAACCCAGCAGUGCAUUAGAGGCUGACAGUGGGUCCCAGUUGACUGCCCAGUCAGCAGUCAACUGUGGACUUUGACUAGUCAAAUUUACUAAGGGACCCACCUGUCAUUGGGACAAACUUAACAAUUUUCUUUUAGAUGGAUAAGUUGAGGUGGGGGGCACUGUCAUAGACUAAACUAGCCACUAAUUAAACCCUAAAACUAUCCUAUCCCUAAUUAACUAAACCGGCCAGAAGCACAGGCCUAUGCACGCCAUGCAUACACGCACGGCCAUGGCCAAGUAGCAAGCACGGCCAGUAGCAACAGAAACAGCAGCGUAGCUGCGGGAGUAGCAGGGAGGCACGACAGCGGGUAACAACGGGUGCGCGUCGGAGCAGCAGGUGCGACCAGGAGCAGGGGUUGCCGCACACGGCCGCGUUCGCGUGGCAGGGGCGCGGCCAGGACCGAGGCACGGCGCGCGGGAGAGCAGAGCUCCGGCCACGGAGACGACGAGCGCACGACAGUAGCGGCGGCAAAAACUAGCGGGAGCAGCGGCUGCGGCAAGCGAGAGGGGCAGCAGCGCAGCGUGGCGGCGGACGGCUAAGGCGCGCGCGGCGCUGGGGCGCGCACGUACGCGGAAACUUGAGCAUGGCCAUGGACGAGGACGACCGAGCUCGGGGACGACGGCAAACAGUGACGAACGGAAGGGGAAUGGGGGGAAAUCGGCAGAGGAGCUCACCGCGAGCUUGAUGGCGCGGUCGGGGAGGCUGGAGGUGGACCGGAGGCGACAAAUCCGACGACGAACGGCGGUGGCCGUGGCGAGGAAGACGGCCAGAUGGCGAGGUUGUGGAGAGCUCCAGCUUGAACCAGAGGUGAUAGGCGAUGCAGACGAGGCCGAUGGAGCUCUAGAGCAUAUCCUCGUGGGUCGGGGACGGCUCCGGUCAGGGGAACAACGGUGGUGCGGCCAUGUACGUGCUCGGAUGCUGCGGAUCUGGAGGGUGAGCACGGGCGAGAGGAAGAGGGAGAGCGGGGUGGAUCUGGGAGGUGAGGCAAGUGGGGAGGGGAGACGGGGAAGCCCGAGGCGUCAGGGGAUCUUAUCCCCUCGCCGACGACGCUGGUGAGCCGGUCGGGUGGCGACCGCGACCGAGCGGUCGGUCGAGCAGUAGAAGACGACCGAGGGUGGGGGUUGGGCUGCUGGGCA
rnacentral:lncRNA from 1 species